rnacentral:rRNA from 1 species
UACAGAGGGUGCAAGCGUUUAAUCGGAAUUACUGGGCGUAAAGCGUGCGUAGACGGUUAUGUAAGUCAGAUGUGAAAGCCCCGGGCUCAACCUGGGAAUUGCAUUUGAGACUGUGUAGCUAGGGUGCGGAAGAGGGAAGCGGAAUUUCCGGUGUAGCGGUGAAAUGCGUAGAUAUCGGAAGGAACACCAGUGGCGAAAGCGGCUCCUGGUCCAGCACCGACGUUCAGGCACGAAAGCGUGGGGAGCAAACAGG